GUAGGGAAUAUUGGGCAAUGGAGGCAACUCUGACCCAGCCAUGCCGCGUGCAGGAUGAAGGCCCUCUGGGUUGUAAACUGCUUUUAUCUGGGAAGAAACCUUUGGAUUCAUCUGAAGCUGACGGUACCAGAGGAAUAAGCACCGGCUAACUCCGUGCCAGCAGCCGCGGUAAUACGGAGGGUGCAAGCGUUAUCCGGAUUUACUGGGUUUAAAGGGUGCGCAGGCGGACUGUUAAGUCAGUGGUGAAAGCCCCGGGCUCAACCUGGGAAUUGCCAUUGAUACUGGCGGUCUUGAGUACAGUAGAGGUAGGCGGAAUGCAACAUGUAGCGGUGAAAUGCUUAGAUAUGUUGCAGAACACCGAUUGCGAAGGCAGCUUGCUAUGCUGUUACUGACGCUCAGGCACGAAAGCGUGGGGAUCAAACAGGAUUAGAAACCCGUGUAGUCC
rnacentral:rRNA from 1 species